rnacentral:rRNA from 1 species
AUACAGAGGGUGCGAGCGUUAAUGGGAAUUACUGGGCGUAAAGCGCGCGUAGGCGGCUUGGUCAGUCGGAUGUGAAAGCCCUGGGCUUAACCUGGGAAUUGCAUUCGAUACUGCCAGGCUGGAAUGUAGUAGAGGGUAGUGGAAUUCCGGGCGUAGCGGUGAAAUGCGUAGAUAUCCGGAGGAACAUCAGUGGCGAAGGCGACUACCUGGACUAACAUUGACGCUGAGGUGCGAAAGCGUGGGGAGCAAACAGGAUUAGAUACCCCAGUAGUCC